rnacentral:lncRNA from 1 species
AGUCAAUCGCUUCUCUUCAAUCAAAUUCAGUUGGUCGUAACGACUCUGAAUCCAUUCAGCAUCAGUCAACUUGGGGUUUGAGGGUAUCAUUUUUCUUUUAUCUUUUUUUAAAAAAAAAAUUUUGAUUUUUGAUUUUUGAUUUUUUUUGAUUUUGUUUUACCCUCUCUUUUUUUGAUUACAUUUGUAAUGCCCCAGUUUGACUGUUUUGCUGAUUCUCAAGAUACAGUUGAAUGAUCUUCUUUUCGUGCUCAAGGAGACGAGUGAUCUCAUCAGGAAUAUCCUUCAACAUCAUCUUCCUCUGCCUCAAAUACAGGGAAUUAA